AAAAUUCGUUACUUGCAUUAUGGUAGAUUUGUAGUUUUAUUUGAUGGUGCUGCGCCGUCGUAUAUGGUAGCCAUGGAACGACAAAACCCUAACCCUAAAUGGUAGCGCUUCUCUAUAUAUAUCUACACAACUCUAUCGGGUUCAUUACUCGGUUGGCUGCUAACCGACAUUCAAUUAUUACAAUCUCCAGCGUAGUUCUAAGAUAGCAUAUUUGAAAUCACCACAUUGAUCAUGGAUCAAGCAGGACUUCUAUAAUCUUAAAGAUGCAUACUGAAUCUUCCAAGAAAAUGGCUGGGAAUUUACAAUCCUCCUUGUGCGACUUCUUAUGAUAGAAAAAACACUUAUUAUUGAUAAGUAAACACUUUUAUAGACAGUAGUAGCCAAUCAUAACAAAGGUGAUUUAAACUGUUAUGAGUAAACUCAUAACUCACGGUGGAUAAAGGUCGAACCCUGUGUUUGGUUCGAAGCUCAAAGAUUCUAGUGCUAUAAAUAACUUUUGUGAGGAGAUCUGCAACUUGGUCAAAAUAGAGAUCUACUUCUAGUUCUGUGUUUACUCUUCUAGGGCUAAAUGCUUCCGGUUGAGUUGAGUGCAUUGUUUAAGACAACAUAGACUUUUGGUUUUCAAGUGAUUUUUAUUAUCUGAAAUGUCGCUUGGGAUAGUUCCUAUAUGGUGUUGAGUAGUAGUUACUGUUGGUUCACUUUGAGGUAGCAUUGGAGAUGAAGAAGUUGGACUUGGUAAUGGACAUGCAUUAGCACCAUUAAAAUAUACCUUAGCAGAUAAAAUGGAAGCACUUGGAAAGGAAGGUGCUGGCCAUAGCUGGUUUAUUGAAGAUUUUGCCAUUUUGGUAAAAGGAACUCUUCCAUCCGGUGCUAUAGCCUAAGAAGGUUCAUUCUUAAUGGAUUCUUAAUGGUGAUUUUCCAUUAAGAAUGCGUGUAAGGAAGUCUAUUGAAGAGAUAAACAUGCUCUACUGUAUGCCUGUGUUACCUUGCUCUUGAUGAGCACCAGGAGCAGAAAGUUGCAAGAAAGUUGGUAAACACGGUAUUCUUUACCCCAA